AGCGAACGCUGGCGGCGUGCUUAACACAUGCAAGUCGAGCGAGAAAGGGGGCUUCGCCCUCGAGUACAGCGGCGAACGGGUGAGUAAUACAUGAGCAAUCUAUCCUUGAGGCGGGAAUAACCCAGCGAAAGUUGGGCUAAUACCGGAUGAGACCACAGGAGGAAACUCCAAGGGUCAAAGGCAGCUUUCUUUUGGGUAGCGGCCCUUCGAAGAGGAGCUCAUGUCCUANCAGCUAGUUGGUAGGGUAACGGCCUACCAAGGCGAAGAC
rnacentral:rRNA from 1 species